rnacentral:lncRNA from 1 species
NNNNNNNNNNNNNNNNNNNNNNNNNNNNNAGGCAGAGGUUGCAGUGAGCAGAGAUCCUGCCACUGCACUCCAGCCCAGGCAACAAGAGCGAGACUGUGUCUCAAAAACAAACAAACAACAACAACAACAAAAGGAAAGAAUCAGACUGGCUUGGGGCUCUGCUGUCCCCUGCCCGUGACCUCCCAAAAGCGUGUGUUAGAGACCUGACCUGCCUAGUGCGUCAGUGGAGGGGGCACUUUGGAGAGGGGCUUGGAUCGUGAGGCCCCGCCCUCGUGAAUGGCUCAGUGCCUUGUGAAAGGGCUUGAUGGAGGGAGUUUGGUCCCUUUUCCCCUUUUGUCUCUCUGCUGUGUGAGGACACCAUGUUCCUCCCCUCUGGAGGACGCCGUAACAAGCUGUCAUCUCGGGAGGAGACACCAGGCCCUGACCAGACGCUGAACAUGCCAGCACCUUCAUCUUGGACUUUCUUGGACUUUCCAGCCCCCAGAAUUGUGAGAAAUAAAUUUCUGUUGUUUAUAAGUACCUAGUCCAUGGUGUUUUGUUACAGCAGCAUGAACAGACUGAGAUAGCGGCUUACAUGUAACCGGAAGCUGCAGAAAAACAUCUUCAGACAGCUGAGACGGCUCCCAGGACUCAUGCCUGGCACAGACACCAUCUGCCUGGCAGGGCAAAGAAAGGCGUCUGUGAGUGUGGGAGGAUUCCGAGUCUAACACCCUGAGCCCAGCCAGGUUCGACAGGAAAUGCUGCUGCAAGGAAUUCAUCCGUAGGCUAGCACUACAACCUGGAGGCAGGGAGCAGUGAGGAGUGGAAAUCUUCCCAUCAGAAGUGAGGAAGGCUGGAUACGGUGGCUCACACCAGUAAUCCCAGCACUUUGGGAGGCAAAGGCAGGAGGAUCACUUGAGCCCAGGAGUUUGAGACCAGCCUGGGCAACUUAGCAAGACCUUGUCUUCAAAAAAAAAAAAUUUUUUUUUUUUACAAGGAACUACACAGAUGGCAAAACUCAAAAAAAAAAAAAAAGUGGGAAGAGGGGAGAAAGGGAGAUCAAUGUCUUCUACAGAUUUCAUCUUGUCGGGUGGAGAGUGUGAGGAGUAGAGCCACGUGGUAGGAAACUGUUGGUGUCUUGUUUGCGAAUGACUUUGGAACAAAGACCACCUGAUAAGCACAGUUAAGGAAUGAAAACACACAGGGACUUCCCAGGGAGCCAGGAGGACACUGGGGGAGCAGGAACACCUGCCUUUCCCAUGGGGCCCUGGUGUGCCCAGCCCUCCACUUCAUGUCUGACCCACGUGCUCUCCGGCUGACCUCCUGGGACUCGCACCCGGCCCCCACUUGGUAUCUGAGCCACGUGCUUCCCGGCCCCCACUUGGUAUCUGAGCCAUGUACUUCCCGGCUGACCUCCCGCAACGUGAAGACUACUCUCGCUCCCUUCAAGGCCACUGUCCCCACCGCAGCCAGAGAGGUGUUUUAUAGUUCAAAUCCUGCCCAGGCACCAUCUUGCCUAAAGGCAGCCCUGAGCCGGAAUCUGUGUGCUUUGCUGAUGGGACUGUAAAAUGGCGCAGUCACUUUUGAAACAGUCUGACAGUUCCUCAAAAGCUUAAACAUAGACUUACCACAUACCCAGCAAUUCCACGCCCAGGCUCUGCCCCAGGAGAAUUGAAAACAUCUAUCCACACGGAAACUUGUACACAAAUGUUCACAGUUGCACUAUUUAUCAUCAUCAGGAUGCCUGUAAUUGAUGAACAGAUGAACAAAUUGUGCUAUAUCCAUAUAAUUAAAUAUUAUUCAGUCAUAAAAAAGAAUGAGGCCGGGUGUGGUAGCUCACGCCUGUCAUUGCAGCACUUUGGGAGGCUGAGGAGGGCGGAUCACAAGGUCAGGAGAUCGAGACCAUCCUGGUUAACACGGUGAAACCCCGUCUCUACUAAAAAUA